AGGCAAUUUUGGUGGGGUGCAAAAGAGGGCAAAAGGAAGAUAGCGUGGGUAUCAUGGAAUGAUAUGACACAGCCGAAGAAUNNNNNNNNNNNNGGCUUCAGAAAGAUGGAGCUAUUUAAUUUGGCCUUGUUAGCUAAACAAGGGUGGAGAUUGAUUCAGGAUCCUUCAAGUCUUAGUGCCCAAAUUUUGAAGGCGAUGUACUAUCCCAAUGAUGACUUUUUAACUACUCAGCUAGAGGCGAGGCCAUUAAAAAAUUGUCGGUCAUUUCUGGAGGGUAGAGAAGUACUGAAACAAGGUCUGGUUCGAAGGAUAGAAAACGGACAAUCUACACACAUAUGGAUAGAUAAUUGGAUCCCAAGAGAGUCCAUGAUCAAAUCUAUUGUACAAUUAAAACCAGGACCGGUUAUGGUGGCCGAGCUGAUCGAUCUGGUGAACCUAGCGUGGAGGAAAAAGGUGUUAAAUAAGCAUAUGAUGAAGCUUGAUGCAAACCAUGUUUGUCGCAUUCCUUUGGCCACUACAGCUUUAUGUAGAUUGUUGGGCAUGGAGGGGCUGUUUGGUUCUAGGCCUUGCAUUGCCACACUUUGCCACACAUUUUUGCCAAACUUGCCUAAGAUUAGUUCAUCAAAAUGA
rnacentral:rRNA from 1 species